UACGAAGGGGGCUAGCGUUGCUCGGAAUCACUGGGCGUAAAGGGUGCGUAGGCGGGUCUUUAAGUCAGGGGUGAAAUCCUGGAGCUCAACUCCAGAACUGCCUUUGAUACUGAAGAUCUUGAGUUCGGGAGAGGUGAGUGGAACUGCGAGUGUAGAGUUGAAAUUCGUAGAUAUUCGCAAGAACACCAGUGGCGAAGGCGGCUCACUGGCCCGAUACUGACGCUGAGGCACGAAAGCGUGGGGAGCAAACAGG
rnacentral:rRNA from 1 species